rnacentral:rRNA from 1 species
GACGAACGCUGGCGGCGUGCUUAACACAUGCAAGUCGAACGAUGAAGCCGGAGCUUGCUCUGGUGAAUUAGUGGCGAACGGGUGAGUAACACGUGAGUAACCUGCCCUUGACUCUGGGAUAACUGCGGGAAACUGUAGCUAAUACCGGAUACGACCCUCGGAGGCAUCUCCUGGGGGUGGAAAGAAUUUCGGUCAAGGAUGGACUCGCGGCCUAUCAGUUAGUUGGUGAGGUAAAGGCUCACCAAGGCGACGACGGGUAGCCGGCCUGAGAGGGUGACCGGCCACACUGGGACUGAGACACGGCCCAGACUCCUACGGGAGGCAGCAGUGGGGAAUAUUGCACAAUGGGCGCAAGCCUGAUGCAGCAACGCCGCGUGAGGGAUGACGGCCUUCGGGUUGUAAACCUCUUUUAGCAGGGAAGGAGCGAAAGUGACGGUACCUGCAGAAAAAGCACCGGCUAACUUCGUGCCAGCAGCCGCCGUAAUAC